rnacentral:rRNA from 1 species
UACGAAGGGAGCUAGCGUUGUUCGGAAUCACUGGGCGUAAAGCGCACGUAGGCGGAUGUGUCAGUCAGGGGUGAAAUCCCGGAGCUCAACUUCGGAACUGCCCUUGAUACAGCACGUCUUGAGUCCGGAAGAGGUGGGUGGAAUUCCUAGUGUAGAGGUGAAAUUCGUAGAUAUUAGGAAGAACACCGGUGGCGAAGGCGGCCCACUGGUCCGGUACUGACGCUGAGGCGCGAAAGCGUGGGGAGCAAACAGG